CCCUUAGAUGUUCUGGGCUGCACGCGCGCUACACUGAUGCGCUCAACGAGUUUACGACCUUGCCCGGAAGGGUUGGGUAAUCUUUUUAAAACGCAUCGUGAUGGGGAUAGAUUAUUGCAAUUAUUAAUCUUUAACGAGGAAUUCCUAGUAAGCGCGAGUCAUCAGCUCGUGCUGAUUACGUCCCUGCCCUUUGUACACACCGCCCAUCGCUCCUACCGAUUGGGUGUGCUGGUGAAAUGUUCGGAUCGGCCGUUUGUCGCGGUUUCCGCGGCUCGUGGCUGAGAAGUUCAUUAAACCCUCCCACCUAGAGGAAGGAGAAGUCGUAACA
rnacentral:rRNA from 1 species